GGCUGCUGCUAACCAGUUGCUGCAAUGGUUUAACGUGAGCACAGCUGUCAUGACUCAAAGACCUCCUUGGAAUAGGAGGAAGUACCUGGCAAGGCAAUCUGCAGGGACCUAAGGCUCCUGAUGAAGUGGUCUACGCACUGAACAAAGUUGACAGAGAGGUUGGGGCUGCCACAGAAGAUCAAGGAGCCAACAAAGCUGUUCUUACUCCUGAAGGGAUGUGACCAGCAUUACAGAUGUCACACACAAUUCCCAGAAACCAUGGAGAAGGUCUUUACAGCAGUACAUCAGCCAAGAGGCGGAGACCCAUCAGCAAGCUAGAGAUAUAUUCAGAAAGUGUGUGAAAAUCAAAACAGGGACUAUAUACUAUUUGAUAACUGAGAUGGCACUAGCACACUGAUGUUCACAGCCACUGGAUUAACAAUCACUGUUGAAUCUUCACAUGCAAUGAAAGUUAACAAUGCUGCUAUUGUCCAGAAAAAAAAAAAUCCAGUCUCUUUUCUCCUUUCGAUUAUAACUCAUUUAAGGGAAGAACUGCAUGCUGCAUGCUUUGAAAAUGUUUUAUGUGUCUUUGCCUGAUAGAACACACAACAUGUUUGAAUAGGCCCAUUUAUUUAAGCAGACAUAUUAAAUAAUUUAUAUGUGAGCAUCCAUGUCAUAAAUUUUGUAGUCUCUUUAAUGUAGGAUAAAUCUGUGUAUUUAAAAUAGUCUUUCUUC